rnacentral:sRNA from 1 species
CUUCGUCGCACAGCUGCGGGCAGAUGAAGUGUACAUGCGUGUCGACGCCGCCGGCCGUGACAACCAGCCCCUCGCCGGCGAUCACCUCCGUGUUGACGCCCACAAUCAUGUUGUCGUGGACUCCGUCCAUGACGUCGGGGUUGCCAGCUUUGCCGAUCGCCCAGAUCACCCCGUGUUUGAUGCCAAUGUCUGCCUUGUAAACCCCCGUGUAGUCGAUGAUCACUGCGUUCGUGAUGACCGUGUCCAGCACUUGGAGAGCAUUUCGACCCGUUGCCUGCCCCAUG